rnacentral:rRNA from 1 species
GCCUGGCAGACCGGUCCGCCUAACGGUGUGCACUGGAUCGGCUGGGUCAUAUUUCUGGGAGAGCGGCAUGCCCUUUAGUGGGUGCGUCGUUUACCAGAACCAUUACUUUGAAAAAAUUAGAGUGUUUAAAGCAGGCUCACGCUUGAAUACAUUAGCAUGGAAUAACGAAAUAGGACGUUU